CCCUUAGAUGUUCUGGGCUGCACGCGCGCUACACUGGUGCGUUCAGCGAGUUUAGCACCUUAACAGAUAUGUUUGGGUAAUCUUCUGAAAACGCACCGUGAUGGGGAUCGAUUAUUGUAAUUAUUAAUCGUCAACGAGGAAUUCCUAGUAAGUGUGAAUCAUCAGUUCGCACUGAUUACGUCCCUGCCCUUUGUACACACCGCCCGUCGCUGCUACCGAUUGAGUGGUCCGGUGAAUUAUUCGGACCGGUGGACUGUGGGGAAACCCGCGGCCUGCUGGGAAGUCUUGUGAACCUUAUCACUUAGAGGAAGCAGAAGUCGUAACA
rnacentral:rRNA from 1 species